UCACCUCUUCGAUAUAUAUUUAUCAUGUUUUAAUAUUUCAAAAUCUAUUUUACAAUAAAAUUGAGAAUGGAAAGUGGGAAUGUGACAACAACCUGAUCAAAGAGCAGAAUAAAGCAGAAGGUCACCAAGAAAAUCCUGCACCCAGAGGGACUGUUUACAAAUUCCACCUUCCACAGCUUAAAUUUUGGCAUCUUUCAACUUCUG
rnacentral:lncRNA from 1 species